rnacentral:rRNA from 1 species
GACGAACGCUGGCGGCGUGCUUAACACAUGCAAGUCGAGCGAUGAAGUUCCUUCGGGAAUGGAUUAGCGGCGGACGGGUGAGUAACACGUGGGUAACCUGCCUCAUAGAGGGGAAUAGCCUUUUGAAAGGAAGAUUAAUACCGAAUAAGAUAGUAGUAUCGCAUGAUACAGCAAUUAAAGGAGUAAUCCGCUAUGAGAUAGACCCGCGUCGCAAUAGCUAGUUGGAGAGGUAACGGCGCUACAAGGCGACAAUGCGUAGCCGACCUGAGAGGGGGAUGAGACACAAUGGGUCAGAUACACAGCCCAAACUCCAACGGCAUGCAGAAGGUAAGAAUAUUGCACAAUGGCGUCAACCCUGAUGCAGCAACUCCGGGAAAGUGAUGACGGUCUUCGAAAUGUAAAACUCUGUCUUCAGAGACGAUAAUGCCGGUACCUGAGCAGAAAGCAACGGCUAACUACGUGCCAGCAGCCGCCGUAA